rnacentral:rRNA from 1 species
CCUACGGGCGGCAGCAGUGGGGAAUAUUGGGCAAUGGGCGCAAGCCUGACCCAGCAAUGCCGCGUGAAGGAAGAAGGCUUUCGGGUUGUAAACUUCUUUGACAGGGGAAGAGCAGAAGACGGUACCCUGAAAACAAGCCACGGCUAACUACGUGCCAGCAGCCGCGGUAAUACGUAGGUGGCAAGCGUUGUCCGGAUUUACUGGGUGUAAAGGGCGUGUAGCCGGGAAGGCAAGUCAGAGGUGAAAUCUGGAGGCUCAACCUCCAAAUUGCAUUUGAAACUGUUUUUCUUGAGUACUGGUGAGGCAGACGGAAUUCCUUGUGUAGCGGUGAAAUGCGUAGAUAUAAGGAGGAACACCAGUGGCGAAGGCGGUCUGCUGGACAGCAACUGACGGUGAGGCGCGAAAGCGUGGGGAGCAAACAGGAUUAGAUACCCCAGUAGUC